UGGGGAAUUUUGGACAAUGGGGGCAACCCUGAUCCAGCGACGCCGCGUGGAGGAUGAAGGUCUUCGGAUUGUAAACUCCUUUUAGGGGGACGGAAUGUCCUGAUGAAGAAUCAGGAGUGACUGGUACCCCGGAAUAAGCCACGGCUAACUUCGUGCCAGCAGCCGCGGUAAUACGAAGGUGGCAAGCGUUACUCGGAAUUACUAGGCGUAAAGCGCAGGUAGGCGGUUCGAUAAGUCUUUUGUGAAAGCUCCCGGCUUAACUGGGAGAGGUCAAGGGAUACUAUUGGACUAGAGUGUGGUAGAGGAUGCUGGAAUUCCCGGUGUAGCGGUGAAAUGCGUAGAGAUCGGGAGGAAUACCUAUGGCGAAAGCAGGCAUCUGGGCCAUCACUGACGCUGAGCUGCGAAAGCUAGGGGAGCAAACAGGAUUAGAUACCCCCGUAGUCCCUGAGCGGGCUGGCAAGGCGCAU
rnacentral:rRNA from 1 species